GACGAACGCUGGCGGCGCGCUUAAUACAUGCAAGUCGAACGAGAAUCAUUGGUGCUUGCACUGAUGAGGAAAGUGGCGAACGGGUGAGUAACACAUGAGAAACCUGCCCCAAAGACCGGGAUAAGCUCUGGAAACGGAGUCUAAUACCGGAUACCUUCUUUUUAUCACAUGUUAAAAAGAAGAAAUGCUCCGGCGCUUUGGGAUGGUCUCGUGGUCUAUCAGCUUGUUGGUGAGGUAAAAGCUCACCAAGGCAUCGACGGAUAGUUGGUCUGAGAGGAUGUCCAGCCACAUUGGAACUGAGAUACGGUCCAAACUCCUACGGGAGGCAGCAGUAGGGAAUCUUGCACAAUGAGGGAAACCUUGAUGCAGCGACGCCGCGUGCGGGACGAAGGCCCUAGGGUUGUAAACCGCUUUCAGUAGGGACGAAAGUGACGGUACCUACAGAAGAAGCCCCGGCCAACUAUGUG
rnacentral:rRNA from 1 species